GAGUCUAGCAUGUGCGCGAGUCAUUGGGACUAGCGAAUCCUAAAGGCGUAAUGAAAGUAAAGGCUGAGCUUGCUCGGUUUAGGGAAGACGGGUGACCUCGGUCGCUCUGCACUCCCGGGGCGUCUCGUUCUCAUUGCGAGAUGAGGCGCACCUAGAGCGUACAUGCUGGGACCCGAAAGAUGGUGAACUAUGCCUGGUCAGGACGAAGUCAGGGGAAACCCUGAUGGAGGUCCGUAGCGAUUCUGACGUGCAAAUCGAUCGUCGGAACUGGGUAUAGGGGCGAAAGACUAAUCGAACCAUCUAGUAGCUGGUUCCCUCCGAAGUUUCCCUCAGGAUAGCUGGCGCUCGUUUCACGAGUUUCAUCCGGUAAAGCGAAUGAUUAGAGGCAUUGGGGUCGAAACGUCCUCAACCUAUUCUCAAACUUUAAAUGGGUGAGAUCUCCGGCUUGCUUGAAAGUACUUGUACUUGAAGCCGCGAGAAUUGAACGAAUCAGAGUGCCAAGUGGGCCACUUUUGGUAAGCAGAACUGGCGCUGUGGGAUGAACCAAACGUUGAGUUAAAGCGCCGAAAUCAACGCUUAUGGGACACCAUGAAAGGCGUUUGUAACUUAAGACAGCAGGACGGUUGCCAUGGAAGUCGGA
rnacentral:rRNA from 1 species